CUUGUCUGGUUUCUCUUCAGAUCACAUAAAUCUCUCACCUUUUACCAAAAUUUCUGUAGAGUGGAACAGUUAUGAAUAUAUUACUAUUUUUUGAGGACACUGAGAGGCAGCAGAGUU
rnacentral:snRNA from 1 species